AAACAAGUCAAUUUAAGCCCUAAAUGAAUACAUUUUGAUUUGUACAGGCAUGAUAUGCAACUUGUAUUCAGUCGUUUUGUUUUUUCUUUCUUUUGCUUUUGUUUUCCACAUCAACUGAAAAGGAGGUCUAAGUUUAACCUAAGUGCUGUGUAGCUGAUGAACAUCUUUAUAUGCAAAACCGGAGAACCCAGAGAAAACCCACCAAACGCAGAGAGAAUUUGCAAACUCCACACAGAAAUGCCUGCUGAUCCAGCUGCGGCUCGAGUCAGCAUCCUUGCUUAUUGGAUGCCUGAUUGCAGUUCAACUCCAAACUCAAUUGGACCAGCUGAUC